UACGGAGGGGGCUAGCGUUGUUCGGAAUUACUGGGCGUAAAGCGUACGUAGGCGGCUUUGUAAGUUAGAGGUGAAAGCCCAGAGCUCAACUCUGGAAUUGCCUUUAAGACUGCAUCGCUUGAAUCAUGGAGAGGUUAGUGGAAUUCCGAGUGUAGAGGUGAAAUUCGUAGAUAUUCGGAAGAACACCAGUGGCGAAGGCGACUAACUGGACAUGUAUUGACGCUGAGGUACGAAAGCGUGGGGAGCAAACAGG
rnacentral:rRNA from 1 species